rnacentral:tRNA from 1 species
GAGGACGUAGGCAAAUCGGUUAGCCGCCAGCCCUUCAAGCUGAAAAUUGCGGGUUCGAGUCCCGUCGUCCUCGCCA